UGAGUCGGCCGGGCGGCCGCGUCGCGCUUCGCGAGGAGCGCGCCGAGGAAAGUCCGGGCUCCGCAGAGCAAGGUGGUGGCUAACGGCCACCCGGGGUGACCCGCGGGACAGUGCCACAGAAAAUAGACCGCCCGUUCGCGAGGACGGGUAAGGGUGAAACGGUGGUGUAAGAGACCACCAGCGCCCCAGGUGACUGGGGCGGCUCGGUAAACCCCACCUGGAGCAAGACCGCACAGCACGCGCCCGAGGGCUGCUCGCCCGAUGCGUGCGGGUAGGUCGCUGGAGGCUGUCGGCAACGGCAGCCCGGAGAUGGAUGGUCGCCGAUCACAGAACCCGGCUUACAGGCCGACUCAUCCG
rnacentral:RNase_P_RNA from 2 species